rnacentral:rRNA from 1 species
AAAGAAACUAACCAGGAUUCCCCUAGUAACGGCGAGUGAAGCGGGAAAAGCUCAAAUUUGUAAUCUGGCGCCUUUGGCGUCCGAGUUGUAAUCUCGAGAAGUAUUUUCCGCGCUGGACCGCACAUAAGUCUGUUGGAAUACAGCGUCAUAGUGGUGAGAACCCCGUAUAGGGUGCGGAUGCCCAGUGCUUUGUGAUCUACUUUCGAAGAGUCSAGUUGUUKGGRAAUGCAGCUCAAAUUGGKKGGUAAAUUCCAUCUAAAGCUAAAUAUUGGCGAGAGACCGAUAGCGAACAAGUACCGUGAGGGAAAGAUGAAAAGCACUUUGGAAAGAGAGUUAACAGUACGUGAAAUUGUUGGAAGGGAAACGCUUGAAGUCAGACUUGCAUUUUGGAGUUCAGCCGCAAGGUGUAUUCUUCAAUUCGCAGGCCAGCAUCAGUUUUUGGGGGUGGAAAAGCGUGGUUUGAAGGUAGCAGCUUCGGCUGUGUUAUAGCUUUCCACUGGAUUCACUUUUGGGGACUGAGGAACGCAGUACGCUUUUUGCAAGAUCUUCGGAUCUUUCGUACUUAGGAUGCUGGUGGAAUGGCUUUAAACGACCCGUCUUGAAACACGGACCAAGGAGUCUAACAUGUUUGCGAGUGUUUGGGUGUUAAACCCGGACGCGUAAUGAAAGUGAAUGGAGGUGGGAUCCGCAAGGUGCACCAUCGACCGAUCUGGAUUUUCUAAGAUGGAUUUGAGUAAGAGCAAAUUAUGUUGGGACCCGAAAGAUGGUGAACUAUGC